rnacentral:misc_RNA from 1 species
GGAAUACAAGGUUGUGGCUCACUCUCUUCUUCACUGUUAACAGCAUCAUCUUCAAUAUUUUCACAUCUGGAAUUAGGCAUGUCCACUACUAUACUUAUGGUCUCUUCACCAUAAUCUCUCGUAAGAACAAUAACUCUUUUUCCUGCUUUAUCGUGAACCUUAAAAGGAAAGUCAUCCGGGAUGUCCACAACGCAGUCGUGAAAUUCAGAAUCUAUGGCAAAUUUGAUUUCGGAAUCGACGAUUUGAAGCAGAAUAUCAUCAAAAGAGCUUUGUUUUC